AUUCCAUAUACCAAGACUGACUGCAAAUAUAUUUAGAAACUUAGCUUUGUUUACUCCUUAUUAAGCAUUUAAUUUGAUUUUUAUAUAACCAGCAGCUCUUUUCUUUGCACUUGUAUUUAAUUGAUUUAUAUAAUAUUCCAGUCAAUUAAGUCACCACGAUGACAAGAACUGCUGCUAUAAAUGGGCCUGGGCACAGCGUAGCUGACUCUGGGUGAGCACAGAGCUCAGCUGGUGGGAACAGAGCGCGUGGUGCAGCCUCCUGGUGUAGGGCAUCCACCAGCGUAUUUCACAGGAAGUUGAAAAGCAUGUUCUUUGAGUGAAGGUACCUGGCCAAGAAGGGUGCGAAGUCUGGUGAAAAGUCAACAUGGUGCCACAGACAGCGGUUCAUCCCACAUACAGCACGGCCAGGCUGGAGGCAGCAGCCAGGGAAAGGGAGCAGGAGACGGGGUGAGGAGGAUGAGUGCUUCAGUCAAGUGGUGUUGGCUGCAGCCCUUUCCUCUCCAGAAACUAAAUUUGUUCAACUGGCUCCCACAGCAAACUUAUGCUGAGAGUGGGGGCCAGUGAGUAAAAUUCAAGCCUUUUGCACUCAGUUGCAGCCCCUUCAAAACUCAUCUCCUCUCCCUGAGUGAGGCUGGGAGUGGCUGAGUAUUUGUUUCCCGCCGGCAGGUGGCUUGGCAGCCACAUCCUUGUAGAACAUGAUGUGCUCCUUGCAGGAGCAAGAGAGAGGAUGAUUAUGAAUCAUGGAACAUCAGAGUGCCAAGGGUCCUCAGUGUCCUCUACUCCAACCAUCCCAGUUUACAGAUGAAGAGAUUGAGGUCCAGAUAGAGGGUGCGGCUUGCCACCGACUUGACCAUCAUGCUGACCAUGUUCAGCAAACAUAGAUAUGCUAAUUUCAUAUUCCAAACUUCUGCCCCAAAUUCUCUGAAGCUCAGAGGGACAUUGCAUCACUGGAUGAUAACAAGAGGAGAAAAGUGACCAGUGGAAGUGCUGACAAGGUGACUACAGAAUACAAGGCUCAUUGCUGAGUUAGAAAGGAUCUUGAGUGACCAUGUAGUCUAAAGCUUUCAUUUUCCAGUUGAGGACACAAAGCUCUGUGCAGGCAGUGACAGAAUUAUCUGAAGCAUGAGCUAGGAGAAAAAAAUAAAAUUUGAAAUCUUGGAAAUUCAUCAAUUGAAAUAUGUAAUACCUGGGCUGCUAAGAGCCCCAAGUUGGCUGCAUUAAUUUUAUCUCAUGCAUCUCCAUCUCCAGUGCCUGGCACAGCACACGGUAGGUUCUUGAUAAAUGUCCUUUAACUGAAUUAUGAAGCUUAUCAUUCAAGUUAACAUAGCAUAAGGCACAAUGUAUAUUCCAUAAGGAGGUUAAAAGGUAGUCAAGACCACAGCUGGUUGAAGGGGUAGGAAAGGCUUCCUGGAGGAGACGGUGUUGAGGUAGGCCUUAAAAAAUGGGCGGGAUUUUGAGGGGUGGGUUUUGUGG
rnacentral:lncRNA from 1 species